CUACGGGAGGCACCAGUGAGGAAUUUUGCGCAAUGGGGGAAACCCUGACGCAGCAACGCCGCGUGAGUGAUGAAGGCCUUCGGGUCGUAAAGCUCUGUCAAGUGGGAAGAACCCACCCUGUGCUAAUAUCACAGGGUGCUGACGGUACCACUGAAGGAAGCACCGGCUAACUCCGUGCCAGCAGCCGCGGUAAUACGGAGGGUGCAAGCGUUAUUCGGAAUUACUGGGCGUAAAGGGCGCGUAGGCGGCUUUUUAAGUCAGAUGUGAAAUCCCGGGGCUCAACCCCGGAAGUGCAUCUGAAACUAAGAAGCUUGAGUAUGGGAGAGGGAAGUGGAAUUCCUGGUGUAGAGGUGAAAUUCGUAGAUAUCAGGAGGAACACCGGUGGCGAAGGCGACUUCCUGGACCAAUACUGACGCUGAGGCGCGAAGGCGUGGGGAGCAAACAGGAUUAGAUACCCGUGUAGUC
rnacentral:rRNA from 1 species